AUGUGUAUCAGUCCCCCUAAAGUGAUCGUCCUGCCGCCGUCCAUUGAAGAGAUUUCCACAAAGCAAGCAGCAACACUGAUGUGUGUGGCCAACAAGGGCUUCCCCUCAGACUGGAGUCUGAACUGGAAGGUGGACGGGAUCAGCAGCAGGUCUCAGUACAGCAGUGUUGCUCUCCUGGAGAAGGACGGUCUGUACAGCUGGAGCAGCAGUCUGACUCUCUCUGAGCAGGAGUGGAGCUCAGUGAUCUCAGUCAGCUGUGAGCUCACACAGAAAGACCAGCGUGAUAAAGUCACUGGAGAAUUGAGGAGAGAUCAGUGUUCACAGUAG